rnacentral:rRNA from 1 species
GACGAACGCUGGCGGCGUGCCUAAUACAUGCAAGUCGAGCGGAUGGAAGGAAGCUUGCUUCCUAAAGUCAGCGGCGGACGGGUGAGUAACACGUGGGCAACCUGCCCCUAAGAUCGGGAUAACUUCGGGAAACCGGAGCUAAUACCGGAUAUGAUUAUGUCUCACAUGAGACAUAAUGGAAAGACGGUUUCGGCUGUCACUUAGGGAUGGGCCCGCAGCGCAUUAGCUAGUUGGUGAGGUAACGGCUCACCAAGGCGACGAUGCGUAGCCGACCUGAGACGGUGCACGGCCACACUAGGACUGAGACACGGCCAAGACCCCUACGGGAGGCAGCAGUAGGGAAUCUUCCGCAAUGGACGAAAGUCUGACGGAGCAACGCCGCGUGAGUGAAGAAGGUUUUCGGAUCGUAAAACUCUGUUGUUAGGGAAGAACAAGUACCAUAGUAACUGAUGGUACCUUGACGGUACCUAACCAGAAAGCCACGGCUAACUACGUGCCAGCCGCCGCAGUAAGAC